UGGCAUUUCGAUGAAGAUGGGAUGGGAAGGAGAUGAAAAUGAAGCCAAAAACUGAAAACCGGAGAUUGGAAAACGGAUGUGGGAUGGAAUAGUUCUGAAAAGAACUGUUGGUGACGUAGUUCUGAAAAGAACUUUUGGUGAAAUAGCUCUGAAAAGAACUUUGGGUGAAAUAGCUCUGAAGAGAACUGUUGGUGAAAACUGGAGGAACUUCGAUGAAAACACGGGUAAGUCACGAGGCAAAAAACAAGAGGUAACUGCGAGAAUUCUGAGGAAUCUGCGAUUAACAUUACAAUAAACUAAAUUUGAUUAUGUAUUUUUUGGUAAUGGUGUCAUUGCUAGCAACCGCCAUUGACGGUUUCAUUUGUAAUUUUUUGAAGGUAGUUAUUAAGCUGCGGUAUUUCUGUCAAUGAAAUUGAUAUAACUAUUCUAUAACUCUGGCCAAAAUAUUCAAAAUUGGCGCUCACGGUAAAAUUAAAAUACAUUGUGCGGAACAAAUCGCAACCGAGCAAGCCACAUUGGCAGUCAGGCACAUGUUAUGUCGGUUUGUGUAUGGUGUUUGAUUCUGAAACAAAUAACUCCAUCGAUCCAUUGAAUCAAUAUCCUGAAUCCCCAUCAACAUUAAAUGAUCGUGAAGAUAGUCGCGGAUGGAAGACAGAUGUCGUAAGAAUGUCUUGUCAAUGUCAGUGCCCGCCAAAAUAUUAAAAAAGUGGCGCGCAUUUACAUUAUCAUUAGCGUACCUAAAGGUGUUGGAGCAAAUGCUGUCGCCUAAAUCAAAUCGUUAUCAGAUACAUUUUCAUUUGAUCAAUUCCUCAUUACAGUAAUCAGUCAAAGGUUGUUAUUAAUCUGGGCUGGUGCCAUGCUCUCUGGGUUUCAAUGUGUUUGGAAAAAGGCCGUUUCUAAUCUGGAGAAGAAAAUGACAACACUUAUAACG